UACGUAGGGGGCAAGCGUUGUCCGGAAUCAUUGGGCGUAAAGCGCGCGUAGGCGGCCCGGUAAGUCCGCUCUGAAAGUCCAGGGCUCAACCCUGGAAAGCGGGUGGAUACUGCCGGGCUAGAAUCCGGAAGAGGCGAGUGGAAUUCCUGGUGUAGCGGUGGAAUGCGCAGAUAUCAGGAAGAACACCAACGGCGAAGGCAGCUCGCUGGGACGGAACUGACGCUAAGGCGCGAAAGCGUGGGGAGCGAACAGG
rnacentral:rRNA from 1 species